GGUUGUGGCUUAGCGGUAGAAUGCUUACCUAGCACGUUUGAGGCCCUGGGUUCGAUCCUCAGCACCA
rnacentral:tRNA from 1 species